rnacentral:tRNA from 1 species
AAGGGAGACCUAAUUCCGGUAGGAGACGAAAAAAAAGUAGUCCCUACCAGGAAUCAAUCCCAAAAGGUCGGAGCGAGGCGAAAUUGGCUUUCAAGCUAGGUUCUGGGUUCAAACAAGACCUGAAUCAGGAACAAGGGCUAUUAGCUCAGGUGGUUAGAGCGCACCCCUGAUAAGGGUGAGGUCCCUGGUUCGAGUCCAGGAUGGCCCACCUGCACAGGUGGCAAAAACAAGAGAAGCGAGGAAUCAGCACCUUAUCUUACUGACAUAGUAAGAGAGAAUGCUGGCUCUGAGUAAAGAGUCCAGAGGAACCUUGAAAACUGCAUAGAGCUAGGUGAAAAAGCCAAAAAAGAAGACCGCAA